UUCUUUUUUGUGAAAUAUGCCAAAGUUACGGUUUAGACAACACUAGACGAGCUAAGAGACAUAGCGGAACCAAUGAUAACGGACCAUGAAAGCUUUAAUGACCAGAAGCAGAGCCAGAUGUGGGUGGAAAAUAAACAAAUCUAAUGGCAUAUAGGCGAAAUCAAUUCAAAACGAUACAAAGAGAAUAUUAAAAAUAGCACAACAUAAGGUCUCGAAGCAUAACGAGCAGACAUAAGACUAGCACACUAUUCGAGCCGGCGACAAACUCAAUAUAACUUACUAGAUGACUGGAAAGACAAGAUUGGUGUUCCUUAGCUCAAGAGGACAGAGAUGUUCAGUGAACGGCAACAUGACAAACAUCCAAAAUAAAAAUAAAAAUAAAAAUUGCUAAGAGCCAAAUAAUAUUACCAUAUACAAGAAAUUUGAACAAAAGGAGAAAAUGAACUAUUACACCUAACGGACAAUAAAUGUAACAACAUUUGAAUUCCGUAUUAACUAACUUCAUGAUUUCGACUAGUACUCGCAAAAAAAA
rnacentral:lncRNA from 1 species